rnacentral:rRNA from 1 species
UACGGGGGGGGGCAAGCGUUGUUCGGAAUUACUGGGCGUAAAGGGCGCGUAGGCGGCCUUCUAAGUCAGACGUGAAAUCCCUCGGCUCAACCGAGGAACUGCGUCUGAUACUGGAAGGCUUGAAUCCGGGAGAGGGAUGUGGAAUUCCAGGUGUAGCGGUGAAAUGCGUAGAUAUCUGGAGGAACACCGGUGGCGAAGGCGGCUCUCUGGGACGGUACUGACGCUGAGACGCGAAAAGCGUGGGGGGAGCGAACAGG